AGCGUUAUCCGGAAUCAUUGGGCGUAAAGGGUGCGUAGGUGGCGUACUAAGUCUGUAGUAAAAGGCAAUGGCUCAACCAUUGUAAGCUAUGGAAACUGGUAUGCUGGAGUGCAGAAGAGGGCGAUGGAAUUCCAUGUGUAGCGGUAAAAUGCGUAGAUAUAUGGAGGAACACCAGUGGCGAAGGCGGUCGCCUGGUCUGUAACUGACACUGAGGCACGAAAGCGUGGGGAGCAAAUAGGAUUAGAUACCCUAGUAGUCCACGCCGUAAACGAUGAGAACUAAGUGUUGGAGAAAUUCAGUGCUGCAGUUAACGCAAUAAGUUCUCCGCCUGGGGAGUAUGCACGCAAGUGUGAAACUCAAAGGAAUUGACGGGGGCCCGCACAAGCGGUGGAGUAUGUGGUUUAAUUCGAAGCAACGCGAAGAACCUUACCAGGCCUUGACAUGGAAACAAAUACCCUAGAGAUAGGGGGAUAAUUAUGGAUCACACAGGUGGUGCAUGGUUGUCGUCAGCUCGUGUCGUGAGAUGUUGGGUUAAGUCCCGCAACGAGCGCAACCCUUGUCGCAUGUUACCAGCAUCAAGUUGGGGACUCAUGCGAGACUGCCGGUGACAAACCGGAGGAAGGUGGGGAUGACGUCAAAUCAUCAUGCCCCUUAUGGCCUGGGCUACACACGUACUACAAUGGCGACCACAAAGAGCAGCGACUUGGUGACAAGAAGCGAAUCUCAUAAAGGUCGUCUCAGUUCGGAUUGAAGUCUGCAACUCGACUUCAUGAAGUCGGAAUCGCUAGUAAUCGCAGAUCAGCAUGCUGCGGUGAAUACGUUCUCGGGCCUU
rnacentral:rRNA from 1 species